GACGAACCGUGCGAACGUUGUUCGGAAUCACUGGGCUUAAAGGGCGCGUAGGCGGCGCGGCCGGUCCGCUGUGAAAGCCCGCGGCUCAACCGCGGGACGGCAGGGGAAACCGCCGGGCUGGAGGGCUGGAGGGGUGCGUGGAACUUCCGGUGGAGCGGUGAAAUGCGUUGAGAUCGGAAGGAACGCCGGUGGCGAAAGCGACGCACUGGACAGCACCUGACGCUGAGGCGCGAAAGCCAAGGGAGCGAACGG
rnacentral:rRNA from 1 species